rnacentral:rRNA from 1 species
CAGAAACUUAAAGGAAGUUGACGGGGGCCCGCACAAGCGGUGGAGUAUGUGGUUUAAUUCGAUGCAACGCGAAGAACUUACCUGGUCUUGACAUCCCGGAGACCCUUAGGAAACUAGGGGGUGCUUCCAUCUGGAAGAAUCUGGAGACAGGUGCUGCAUGGCUGUCGUCAGCUCGUGUCGUGAGAUGUUGGGUUAAGUCCCGCAACGAGCGCAACCCUUGCCUUUAGUUGCCAGCAGUUCGGCUGGGCACUCUAAAGGGACUGCCGGUGUUAAACCGGAGGAAGGUGGGGAUGACGUCAAGUCCUCAUGGCCUUUAUGACCAGGGCUACACACGUACUACAAUGGCCGAUACAAAGGGCAGCGACACUGCGAGGUGAAGCCAAUCCCGUAAAAUCGGUCUCAGUCCGGAUUGGAGUCUGCAACUCGACUCCAUGAAGUUGGAAUCGCUAGUAAUCGUGGAUCAGCAUGCCACGGUGAAUACGUUCCCGGGCCUU